AGAGCCUGCUCUGGGACGGCGGGGUGGGGGAGAGCCGAGGAGCGGAGCUGCCGGAUCCUCGCCCUGCGGAGCCCCCAGGAUUACAAGGAAUUGCGUGCUCCUUCCCAGACGUGAGCGAGGGUUAUACCAAAGAGCCAACCUCCUUCGCGCCCUGCUGUCCAAAUUAAUCCCUUGGACCCUUGAGAAGACAGGGGGUUUUUCGGAGCCAUGGCAUCGACAGAAGGUGCCAACAAUAUGCCUAAGCAAGUAGAAGUCCGGAUGCAUGAAAGUCAUUUAAAUCCAGUGGAGCACAGAUCCAAGAACUUAUGUGUGCAGUUCUGCCAGUCCCUCCACAGGAAUCUGCUCCUGACUCUUACUGUGUUUGGUGUUAUCCUGGGUGCGGUGUGUGGGGGUCUUCUUCGUCUAGCAACACCUAUUGACCCUGACAUCAUCAUGUUAAUAGCCUUCCCAGGAGAUAUACUUAUGCGGAUGCUAAAAAUGCUGAUCCUCCCUUUAAUUAUCUCCAGUUUAAUCACAGGACUGUCUGGAUUAGAUGCUAAAGCAAGUGGCCGCCUGGGGACAAGAGCCAUGGUCUACUACAUGUCCACCACAAUUAUUGCUGCUGUGCUGGGUGUGAUUCUGGUUUUAGCCAUCCAUCCAGGGAAUCCAAAACUCAAGAAACAGCUUGGUCAAGGGAAGAAGAACGAUGAAGUGUCUAGUCUGGAUGCCUUCUUGGAUUUGAUCCGAAACUUGUUCCCUGAAAAUCUGGUUCAAGCAUGCUUUCAGCAGAUCCAAACUGUCACCAAGAAAGUGCUGGUGCCACUACCUGUUGAAGAGCCACCUAAUGUCACUGAUUCUGCUAUUGCUAUGGUGAAUGAGACAGCCCCACCUGAAGCCCAAAUGGUCAUUAAGAAGGGGCUUGAAUUUAAGGAUGGCAUGAAUGUCCUGGGUUUGAUAGGAUUCUUUAUUGCUUUUGGCAUUGCUAUGGGGAAAAUGGGAGAACAGGCCAAGAUGAUGGUGGAUUUCUUCAACAUCCUGAAUGAGAUUGUAAUGAAGUUAGUAACCAUGAUCAUGUGGUAUUCCCCGUUGGGUAUUGCUUGCCUCAUCUGUGGAAAAAUCAUUGCAAUCAAGGACUUAGAAGUAGUUGCUAGACAACUUGGCAUGUACAUGGUCACUGUGAUUGUGGGUCUUGUCAUCCAUGGAGGGAUCUUCCUGCCUCUGCUCUACUUUGUGAUAACAAGGAAAAGCCCAUUUUCAUUCCUCGCUGGGAUUUUCCAGGCAUGGAUCACAGCACUAGGCACAGCUUCCAGUGCUGGAACAUUACCCGUCACAUUCCGGUGCCUUGAAGAAAAUCUGGGCAUUGAUAAGCGUGUAACAAGGUUUGUUCUUCCUGUUGGAGCAACUAUUAACAUGGAUGGAACUGCCCUUUAUGAAGCUGUGGCUGCCAUCUUCAUAGCACAGAUGAAUGGAAUUGACCUGGAUGGAGGCCAGAUAGUUACUGUGAGUUUGACUGCCACCCUUGCAAGCGUUGGAGCUGCCAGCAUUCCCAGCGCGGGACUUGUCACUAUGCUGCUGAUCCUGACUGCAGUGGGUCUCCCUACCCAGGACAUCAGUUUGCUUGUUGCUGUUGACUGGCUUUUGGACCGGAUGAGAACGUCAGUCAAUGUAGUGGGGGAUUCUUUUGGUGCUGGCAUUGUCUACCACCUUUCCAAGGCAGAACUCGACACCAUUGAUUCCCAUCAUAAAGGGCAUGAAGACAUUGAAAUGACCAAGACUCAGUCAAUCUAUGACGACAUGAAAAAUCAUAGGGAAAACAACUCAAACCAAUGUGUUUUUGCAGCUCACAACUCAGUCAUGGUAGAUGAGUGCAAGGUACCUUUCACAUUUAUGGAUAUUGAGACAUGUAUAUAGCACUGCAUGCUUUAUUUUAUUUUUUAACCUGCAUGUAUUUUUCAAAUCGUUCUGCAAAUAACAAUGUGACAGCAAGGUCCAUGAACCCCAGACAUUUUGAAUGUGUUUAAGCAGUUCAAAAGAUGGUUUUUUUGCACUCUCUUAAAACUUGUCAUUUGAUGGGAAAAAAUCAUGUACUUUGUUUACAUAUCAAAAGGCAAGAUGCAGCGUAUUAUGGAAUAUGCCAAGACACAGAGAAUAUGGCAUCACCUUCUAUGGACAUUUACUUAAUUUUCUGUGGCAACAGAGAACUUAAUUGCCAACCCAAAUGAAGGAUGGCUGCAAUUGAGAUGCAGGUGUUGUCACCUGCUGACUGCCUUCAUGAUAUGCUGUUCAGAGGUCGACAUGUUGAAUGCGCUUUAGCAUGAGAAUGCUCCUGCACUCACACAGCACGCUUCUGCUUCUCUUGUGUCAGCGUUCCUUCCCGAGGCACUAAGGCACAGACACUCUCUUCCCUCUGUAACCCCUGCUGUAACUAACAUGCAAUAUUAACACUAAUAAUGACGUCUUGAUCAGAGUGAAGUGAGCUUGAGCAACACCACCAGCUGAAUGCAAAGACAGUUUCAGGAGGUUACGGGUUAGAAGUUCACUAAGAACCCACCACUGGAAUGGGGCAGUUUAAAAUCCAGAGAGAGCUUUUGAAAAGGAGGAGAAAAGAAAGCAAAGCAAGAUGGAACUUCUAAUUUCAUAGUAUUUUUAUUUUUUUGGCAAUUAUUAAUGCUCCAGUCUGAUGCUGUACACUGUUUUUGAGACAGUGGGUUUGCCAAUCAUCUUACCUUAGCCAUUUAUCCAAACAGAUUCUCUUGUAUCUCCCAGUUGCCACAACUGAGCCAGUAUUUAGCUUGUGAAGAACUGCACUAAGUCCAUUAGCACAUCUCCAUUUAUAUUGGAAAUAUAAUCCUAUACUGUCAUUUUCUCUUGUGUCUAGCCUAGCUGGAAAUGUUCUUUAGAAAGAUUUUUUUUUCCUAAUGCUUACUUCUUGAGAAUGCAGGCUAAACCUGAAUUCUCAGGUGAAAAAGUAAUACUGAAUUCCAGGAAAAAAACCAAACAGCAUUCAUCUUAUCUUCAAAUUUUUUCCUGAAUUUUCCAAGGUUUCAAUAAAGUGAUUUUUUUAAAAAAUCACACAUUUUUUCUGACAUGGCUGUCCCCUUUAUCUUCAGGCCACGCUUUUUCCAUUUGAAAAAUUUAAAAACUAAGAUCUGAAAUGGAAAGAGAAUACAUGCUUACAUAAAAUUGAAAAUGGUCUUUAAUUGAUGUUUCUCAAAAAAGGCAAGGACACAAGAGAUUAAAAUUUGAAGAAAAAAACUCUUGAAAGAAAGACACUUUUUGGAUAACUUAUUUUGAAUUUUUUUGAAAACUUUUUAAGUUAAAUAGGCAAUUCUGUGUUUAAGAUUAUGUUUAUGGAAUUGAAUACUGAUAAUUUAAUCUACUCCCAGUUUCUCAGAUUUGCAGAGAGAUCCAAGUCAAGUUAAAAAGUAGUAGCCUGUUGAUGCAAACAAUACUUGCACUUUCUUUUCUCCUUCAGUUUCUCAUAUUAUCUCCCUCUGCUGAGGCAAUAGAUUGCCUCAAAACCAUGGAUUAGCAGUGCUGUAUGUCAUCAUAAGCACACCCUUUAAUUCAAGUUUGGGACCAGUGAUUUAUGGGCUAGAAAUGUUUGUUCUUUUUAAUUGCUUUAGGUUUGCUCUGCUUACAGUCUCAGUUUGCACUUUUAAACUCAUGAAAAGAGCCAGGCUUUACUGGAUCGAGCACAAGACUGACUUUGAGCAGGUCACUGCUCUUGUCUGCCAAAAGGACGUGUUGUUGUGACCUAACUGAUGAGCUGUGAAUAUAUGCUGGCACUUGCAGAGCACUUGGAUCAUGUUGAAGUGGUCCACAACUCCCAAGUGUUAGACUUGCGAAGGCAACAAAGAGUGGGAUCUGGGGCUUUGAAACAGCCAGCUGUUAAUUUUGAAAAGCCAUCUCUUCAUCCUGUCCAAUGCGCUGGUGGGUUGAAAAGCUUACUGCAGCUCUGGUCAGGAUAUGGAAACACUAAUCUACUAGCACACCCUUUCUAUUUACUUUCUGUAAUAUAUUCCAUGUAUAACACUCAUAGAUUAUAAUUUUGCAUGGUCAAUGUACAUAAUUAAUAAUUAGUUUACCUUUGUAUGGGGUUAGAGUGGUUGUUAUUGCAUGAUACUUUUGUAUUUUUUUUUAUUACCAUAUUUCACAUGACUCUGUGUGAUUUUCAUUUCUGAAUAAGCUGUUCGUUGCUGUAUUUGCAUGUUUUCCCCUUCCAAUUAUAUAAGAAAAAGCUUGACUUUGUUUCAAAAAUCAGUGCAUUUUGUCAUGUUUCCAUGUCCCAAUGCUUCCAUACAUCCUGUUUAUCCAGCAUGGGGAAUUUCAGCUCUGUCUUUAAGUUUUCAUUUGAAGCUGAAGAUGUUAACUUACAAGGUAACACUGGCAACCAAUGGCAAAUCUGCAGACUUCAAUGUUGUUGAAGAAGAGCCUUGGAAACGUGAAAACUAA